rnacentral:sRNA from 1 species
UGAUAAAUAUGAUACUGAUAGUUACUUACUAAUCCUACGAUAUUAUUUGGGAAGUACAUUUUAAAUGUAACCUUAAUUUUUGUAAGUAAUUAUAUAGGUAUGCCAUUAGAAAUAAAAUUUUAAAGAGUAAAUUAAUUUAUCUCUUUAAGGAUUAAAAAGUCAAAUACUAAUUUAAUUAAUUAAAUUUAAUUAAAAAACGAAAUAUAUUAUUAAUUUCCAAAAAUAAUAACCAAUCAAAAUCAACAUAUAAGAUUUGAUAUCUAAAUUUUAAUUAAUUUAAUUUAAUUAGAAAAACAAAAUACAUUAUUAAUUUCCAAAAAAGUAACCAGUUAAAAUCAAUAAAUUAUGU